CUGAAUUCGCAAUUCUCUCUAGACAAGCUCAGGUGUGCUGCAUCUUUUGUACUAAUUGUAGCCUUGCCAUUUUUUUCUCUCCUGAACAGACACUGGUGUGCUUGUACUGAUGACUGAGUAUGUUUCUCUGUACAGGAAACUGCAGGUGGGGGUUAGGGGGCUCUGGGUAGUGUUGGCUUAGCAGCUGCACUCUAUACCAUUAGAGUGGCUAAGCACACAGUUCCUCUUGCUACACUCUAAAUCAUAGUGUGACUAGCUUACUGGUUCCACCCAUCCCCUAAAGCCUCUCACGUCUGGCUCCACGUGCCAACCCCUGGACAACGGCUUCAGCUGGCCGACCAAACGACGUGAGGGGGCGGUGUUGACACAGCACUGUCAGGUAGAUUUUCAGUGGUGAGGUCUGUCUGGACUACCAACAGAAAGGCAAUCAAUCAUGGCCAACCUGGAGAGGGCAUGGACAGCAGCAGUCCAUACUGAUAUGCUUUGUGUAAAUAGUGUAAAUAAGAGUACAACUUCAGACAGUUCCUGAGUUACUGUAAAGUACUGUAAGUUAAAUUAUUACCGUAGUAGUUUUAUUUGUGGUAGGACUGAUAAGGAGAUUUUCAUUUUGUCUCAAAUUCGUGGUUGAAACAAUUCUGCAGUACAAUAACUAUGCAUUUGAAUGCACCUUUUCAGUGUCAUAAUUUGCUGAGAAUAGUCAGUGCAGAAAUCAAAAAUAAAAGAUCUGUGUAACAAUAAUUUGCCUGGUGUUACACAAUUGGUAAGUGAUGCUAGGGAUUCUGAUUAUAGAUUUAUAUUCAAGUAAUUCUUUUAUAAGCCAUGAGUGUUUUCCUGAAUAGGUAUGAUGUAAUGUAUAUUCUGCAAUUUCAGGACGAAAGCUGAGACACUUCUCCUACAAGUAAAGAAUUGAGCCUGAGCGGGAACGUUACGCUAGCAGCAGUUCAUAACAUAUCGAGACCUCCAGGGGAUGACGGUCUAUCAAGUCCAGUCAGGGGAUGAUGCCUGCUGUCCCAUAGUUUCACUUUUAGCAUAGCAUGAAAUUAAAGCUUCAAGUCAUGAUGUAAUAGACAGGAAAAUAACAGACAGUUCUGUAUUUGGUCAGUCAGGUAACACCAACAAAGUGUUUUAUGAGCGGAGUACAGCAGAGCACUCUGGUGGGGCAGGCAUAGAGUGAAGUAAAGCAAUUUGUUUAGGAACUGCUCAUUUUUUUGAGUUUUGAUUUACUUAUAAGAAGGCAAACCCAAUAACUCAGGAUCUAGAGUUAGCUUUUGGACUAGAGUAGACACUUGUGAUAUUUUUUUUACCUUGUUUGAAUUUCUCAUGUUACCUGCAAUUAGUCCAUGGGCAAGAAUUUACAGUAAACUCAUUACUUUGGCAUGAUAAGAAGAUAAAAUAACUGGUUUUACAAAAUAUGCUGAAGAUAAAUGCAAAUUGCAGAACACAGAUGUACAAGGAAUAAGAUCAAUAUUGGUCAUAUAAAAGGAUAUGUUAAGUAUUUUAAUAAAGAAUCUCAUCCUCUACCACAA